GACGAACGCUGGCGGCGUGCUAAACACAUGCAAGUCGAGCGGAAAGGCCACUUCGGUGGUACUCGAGCGGCGAACGGGUGAGUAACACGUGAGUAAUCUGCCCCUGGCUUUGGGAUAACCACCGGAAACGGUGACUAAUACCGGAUACGACCACUUCUCGCAUGGGAUGGUGGUGGAAAGUUUUUUCGGCCAGGGAUGUGCUCGCGGCCUAUCAGCUUGAUGGUGAGGUAAUGGCUCACCAUGGCUUCGACGGGUAGCCGGCCUGAGAGGGUGACCGGUCACACUGGGACUGAGACACGGCCCAGACUCCUACGGGAGGCAGCAGUGGGGAAUAUUGGACAAUGGGCGGAAGCCUGAUCCAGCAACGCCGCGUGAGGGAUGACGGCCUUCGGGUUGUAAACCUCUUUCAGCAGGGACGAAGCGCAAGUGACGGUACCUGCAGAAGAAGCACCGGCCAACUACGUGCCAGCCGCCGCAGUAA
rnacentral:rRNA from 1 species